rnacentral:rRNA from 1 species
UACAGAGGUCUCGAGCGUUGUUCGGAUUCAUUGGGCGUAAAGCGCGUGUAGGCGGCCCGGUAAGUCCGCUGUGAAAGUCGGGGGCUCAACCCUCGGAUGCCGGUGGAUACUGUCGGGCUCGAGUACGGAAGAGGCGAGUGGAAUUCCUGGUGUAGCGGUGAAAUGCGCAGAUAUCAGGAGGAACACCAAUUGCGAAGGCAGCUCGCUGGGACGUUACUGACGCUGAGACGCGAAAGCGUGGGGAGCAAACAGG